CCACCCACCUGUCGAAAAUCAUUGUGUUAAACUUUCGCUGUCCAACCGCUCACCGUGGCCCAGUGGCUAAGGCGUCCGCCUUGGGAUCGGGAGGUCGAAGGUUCGAGCCCCAUGGGGACCGUUCGUCCGAGGAAUGUUUGUCAUGCGACUGGUUCCGAAAAGGCCGGUUCGUGAGCCGCGAGCUAGUUAAAUGAAUGGUUACCGACUUCUAUCCGCCUGGCGCCUGGCAUAGUGGUAGGAGUUGGGAGGUAAUUGGUACGCACUAUAAAGGUGUCGUAUGAGCCAAAUUGGCCGGCCCUUUCAAUAGGGGUGACACUAUAAUAAACAAGACCUUUACCUUUUUAUAGAUGAUCUCUCCUACCUCGGCAAAAUUGUCAGUUUGAGCCCGGACUCGGCCUUGUGAAAUUAUUUUUAAAGAAGCUAUCCAGCAAGUCUGCGAUAGUUUCUGGUUCUUUCCAGUAAGUGUGUUUCUCUACUACAAACAGAUGAUCUCCGACGUUUUACUUAAUUUUAGCUAAACGUUAAAAAUUGACCCCAUUACUUAUCAAAAUUUAACGACUUAUCAGGUCUUAACGACUUUUUGAUCAAACUUUAAUGUUGAAAUGUUGACAGGAUCAACUCUCAACGUUGAAAAAUGACACAUGGGGUCAAUUUUCAACGGGGUCAAAAUUUAAUGUUACACGGAUCGUCAUAUGAGAUACAGCAAAUGAGUCCGAAGCGCAACUAAUGGUCAAAGUCUAUCAGUCAUGGGAUUUAAUCGGCAUUUGUGUAAACUUUCCCAAAAAAAUAAUGUAACAUGCAAAAAUCUCAACUUGGUCUCAUAAUUUUUUCGGAAUGUUUAUCAUAUAUAUUGCUACACAGAACAGUAGUACGGCGCAAUGACCCGGCAACUUAAAUGAACUCGUACAAAACAUGUUUUACACAGUCUUACACAAUUCACUCAAUCUUUGUGAUUUAAUCAACGCGUUAUUCCCGAGGCACUGUUCAUGCUCAGUUCACUUACCACGUGACUUUCGUGACAACGUACUGUUAUUGUUAUAGCCAGUCCGGGUUUUCAGAGAGGCGAGUCAACAAAAUGGUAUGUAAUUUUUUUAUUCUGUGUUUUCUUUUCUAUUUUCUUUCUAUUGCUGUCGUAUUUCUUUUCUCAUUUCUUCCGUUAAACUUGUAGAUGAUUCAUUUUGUGGUUUUCGCCCAUCUUAACCUGUGAUUAUCAUUCAAAUUCCUGUAAACGCAAGAAACUACUUCUAGAGAAAUAUCUAAUACAACAGUUUGUUUUCUUAACACUGAUUAUAAAGAUUGAUUCCAAAGAAUAUUCAUUAGCUUUAAUGUAUUUCAAAUACUGGGGCUGAAAGCCAGUCGUCCUCGAAAUUUUUUCAGCACGCAUUCAUUCCGUAUAGGGACCGAUGCCAUUAUUAUGCACAAACUAUAUUGGUAUGAUGGAAUUUUCACCUGUACCUUUUGCUAUUGCCUGAAGUGAACGGUUGCUAAAGAAACAAUCAAAUUAUGUAUUGUGCACGUAUUUUUUACUGGGAACAUGUUUUAUAAGUCUUAUUUAUAUGACUGUGUUAACAACUUGGCAUCCAUGGAAAAUUGUGCAAAAAGGGACGCAUGGCGUGGCUUACAACAGACUUCCGCUCUACCAUUUAAAUUGAGAAUUAAUUUGAUAAUAUUGAUUUAAAAUAAAGUUAUAUACUGUUCUAUUACUCCAUAUGUUGUCAAACCAUUAUCUACAUCUACAUCUACAUCUACAUCUACAUCUACUCCGAACAAUCAAUUUCUGAUCAUAACUGGGAGGUCGGGGCAGUUGUUAAAAAGCAUGUUGCUAUGUUACAUGAUACAUGAUAUUCAUGUUGUUAAAAGAGUAAGAGCAGUAAUAUAUACAGCUUGUUAAAAAUAAAAACAGGAUGAUGACAUUAGUACAAUACAAGUCUAGGUCAGAUGUGAAGCACUGAAGGUUUAAACUGUCCUUGAUAUGAUAAGGUAAGGCGUUCCAGUAUCUGAUUGUGCGGGGAAAGAAGGAGUUCAUAUGAUAUUGUGUUCUUGAAGAUGGAAUGAUAAAGUUUAAAUUUCUAGAGGUUGUCAGGUGGUUAUGAUCUACAGAGACGAGGUCGUGUGAUAUUUUAUACAACAUAAUUAAAGAUGCAUGUAUUCUCCUUUGUUCUAAUGUCUGCCAUUUAAGAGUUUCAAGCAUUGAUGUUACGCUGCUUUGGUAUGAGUAGUCAUUCAUAACAUAUCUGGCUGCGGCUCUUUGUACCUUUUCUAUCUCAUAUGUUACGUUUUUCUGCCAUGGAUGCCAUAUGGUGUUACAGUAUUCUAAUUGUGGCCGGUUGUUUUGUAGGCAGUUUCUUUAAUAUUACGGUUAUUACAUUGUACAUUUCUUUUUAUAAAUCUGAGGGUAUUACUAGCUUUUGAAGAUGUAAAUUCAAUAUGUUUUUUUCCAACAAAUAGACAAAUAUCGUUAAUUGAUUUAUUUUAGGGCCAACUUUUAACGGUAGUCAUAUCCUGGAAUACAGAUUCCGGGUCUUUCUAUCGAUUACAAAGUAUCAUACAAGUAUAAACAAAUAUUUUAAAACUGCCUUCAUAGCUUUAACUGCAAGUAAGACAUUUACGUUUAACAAAUCAUGUUUUACUUUUUGCAGUUUUCCAGUUGCUAUGGUGGCAUUAUUGCAUAGAUGAGAGACCAUCCAUAAUUCAGUCACAACAUCGACUGACGUGGUUUCAGAUUUGGAGCAGGAAGGGGUUACUGUGAACACUUACCACCACAUCUUGGCAAUGGUAUGUAUGGAUGACCGACGUUUAGAUGUUCAAAGUUUUACAACGAUUUUGGAGCAUAUAGGGUGUGUAUGUUUACUUUUUCUUACAUGUGGCAACACUUUGGUAUAUUUGUUUCUCUUUUCACACAUGCCUCUCUAUAUGUAUACACGCAACAGGGUCACCAUGGGAACGUACCGCCACAAAAUACAUAUAGACAAUGACUGACGUUCAGAUGAGCAGAUUUUAGAGCAUAUACGGUUAGUACAUGUAUGUCUACAUUUCCUUUUAUGUGGCGACGAUUUGAUACAUUUGUUUAUGUUUUUACACAUGUCUUUCUGUAUUUAUACAUUCAACUUUAACAGGAUUACCAUGGAAACGUACCUUAAUAUCUAGGCAAUGGUAUAUUGGAUGGGCAACGUUCAGAUGAACAAAGUCAUACAGCAGAUUUUAGAGCACUAACUUCUACAUCCAGGCAAAGGUAUAAAUGGAUGACGACGUCCAAACCCACAAACAGCAGUGGGAGAAAUCCUGCAACCGAUAACGAUCACGUGACAAACGCUUAGCUUUAAAUUGUCUAAGCUUUGCUAGGACCCGUAAAUGAAUUCAGGCAAAACUUGAAUAUAAACAAACAUUUGGAUAAUAUGUGCGGUUAUUGAAAACUCAAUCUACCUUGCAUGUGUUUUGCUGCGUAAUUCUUGGUGUUCGGUGUUUGCUGUUUUGUCAGGGAUUUGUUUGGCUAUUUGAUGGUGUUUCACGGUGGUGGUUUUGGUGUUUGUUGUGUUGUUGGUGUCUUCCAUGUGGUCUUCUCGGUUGUAUUCGAUCAUGUUUGUGUUGUUUUGUUAAAAUGGGCGUUUGGUGCGAAUUGUAUGUCGCAUUUAGUUCGUCAUCGUUCGUUCCGUUACAAGGUGAAUUUCUUUUUGCCACUAGCAGUACAUUAUAAAUAGAUUUAUUCAUGUACACAAAAACUGCUUUGUGAUUGAUUUGUUUUACGUUUCCCAUCAGUUUUAGAUAGCUGCAAAGACAUGUCAUGAAAUUUGCAGACGACAGAUAUUGGGUGCAGGCGAGAUCUGGGUUGAACGCGCGAAAGCUGCAAAGACAUGCCAUGAAAUAUGCAGACGACAGACAUGCGGUGCAGACGAGAUCUGGGUUGAACGCGCGAAAUUGUUUUGUUUUAUUUCUGCAUUUUACGCUUUUUGUUUUGUAUUUCUUUUUUUCUACUAGAAUGCUGGGGUAUGUGUACUUGAAGAAAAAAAGACGCAGCCGGAUAGGACAUGGAGAUGCAGACCAAGCAAAAUGUGCGUUUCUCUUUAUGAUGAACAGACAAUGCAAUGGUUUAGUGGAUGGUGCAGCUCUGGUACAUGAUAUUGUCUACAAGCACGUGCGUGGAUGUCAUGUUGUAGAUUUCACAGUGGUUAAGUCGGUGCUGCAACUUGAUCCUUUUUCUAAGGUAUGUAAUUUUUCUGACAGGUACAAUUAGAUAAUUUCGUUUGAUAGCUUUUUUUUUUGCAGUUUAUAUUUUCUGGUUAUCGUAUGGUCGUACAUGGUUUUAACUUUUUUAUUUUUAACUCAUUACUGUUAAUUGUUAGAUAAUGACUACCAGUAUUCAGUUAAGCAGUGCAUAACUUUAAACCUUUAGAAAGCAAAGAACUAUUUUUCUCGUAAUUCUGGAGCGUAGGAAUGUGCAUUCAACUUAUGGCUAUGGUGAAAGAAAAGCUCGAAGUAUCGGACAAGAAACUUGAAACUAUUCGAUAUGAAACUCAGGCUAUCAGACGAGGAACCCGAACUGUCCGACAAGAAGCAGUUUCCUGUACCAUACGAAGAAAAAUUUAGUUGAGGGAACUACGGUUGUCGUGGAAUUGCCUUGCUGGUACUAAAAAGAUGCCGAUAACCAGAGGGGCACUGGUAACCAAUCGAUGUCGCUUAUCAGAGGUGUUCUGGGUCCCUUAUGUCAACAUAGUAAUCAAAUGUUCUCGACAAGGAGACGACACUUGCUGCUUCUACCAGAUGAAGCCAGUGGCGGAAGAAGGGACCCGAUGCCUGGAAUAACUUUGCAGUAUAAAAUUUUGCACUGUUCGAAUGGUCAAGAUAGAGUGGUUUUAGUGGAAUACAGCCUUUGAUGGACAUAUCGUCUGUAUUUGCCCUGUCCUGCUGAUGAUAGAGAGCUCUUCCACACCUCGUGCACACAUCAGAAUCCGCGAGGUAGGCGACGAAUUUAUUCAGGUUUAAAACGACAGGAAGGCAGUGUUUUACAUUGUUGAAAGACAAAGAAAAAGAAUCGAUUCCAGAACGUGCUGUCCUGUGUUUGUUGUUUUCGGCAGUUGAGGGAUUGAUUUCAAACACUCUAGUGGGAAAUAUAUGCAGAAGAAAGAACCAAGUAUGAUAAAUCCACGACAGACCUGGCACAAGCAUAUAGUAUGACACAACUACAGCCGCCAUGACAAAAGCAUAGUUAAACAAAUUAGACAUAAGCUAGCAUAUAUAUAAUUAUACCCCAAUGUACAAAGUAUAUUGGGCUAUGUUGGAGUCACGCAUGUCCAGUCCAUCCGUCCGUUCAUUUGUCCACCAUGGCCGCUGAGAUGACUUUCAUAAAACUGACAUAAAUUAUAAACCUCAUCAAGACGAUGUACAGAGCGCUCAACCUAGGUCACAAGGCCCAAGGUCAAGAUUACUCAUGGAAAUCAAAGGUCAAAUAGCUUAGCUUCAUGUCCGCUCUGUAUUGUCUAAACGGCUUUGAAAAUAUCUAGCUCGACUGUUUGAAGAGUAUGGAGGAUUACUGUACUUUCCUUGGCGUCUGUGUCACUGUCACCGUUGCAUUGAAAGUUAAAAUUUUAGGCAAGCUUCUCAGUGUCACUAUAUCUUCUUACUACUGCCCUUACUAACAUCAAACUUCACAUAAGUGUUGGUCUUGGUAAGGGAAAGACAUCUACAUGUAUUAGUUUAGGAACAAGUAUCCUAAAUGUCGAAGUCACUGGCUUAAAUAUUGUGAUAGUGCUGGUUAAAGUUUCAUGAUAAGCUUCUCAAUUUCACAAUAUAACCUCACAUAAGGAUUGAUCUUAGAACGUGGCAGAAAUCUUUUUGUUUAGGGUCAGGUUGCUCAAAGGUCAAUGUUACUGGGUUCAGAUUUUGUAACAGUGUUGGUUAAAGUCUUGUGGCACAUUUCUCAAUUUGACUUAUAUCUCAUAACGUUUCUUAGAACUGGUAUCCCUCAUGUCCUAUCCUUUUUAGCUAUACCCACACUUCAUCUACGUUCCUCCCGA